rnacentral:rRNA from 1 species
ACUUGGAAACUAAACCUUAAUCAGUAGGAGUUAUAUUUCUGAAAUUUAAAGAGUUUGGCGGCUUUUAGAGGAAUCAGGGGAGUUUGUACCGUUAUCGUAACUACGCGCUAUACCUUACUUGGCUUUAGCUUGUAUACCGCCGUUUAAGUAAUCUUAGUAGAGAGAACUGUAAUUAGCCAUAAAAAUAUCAGGCCAUGGUGCAGCCUAGCUAAGAUGAGUACAAACUACAAUUUAUAUUCAACUGGAGUUAAAAUUAAAAUUUUAAUGAAAUAGGACUUGAAAGUAAUUACUAAGUUAGAAUAGAGUAAUAAAUAUAAACUAAAAGUGUACAUAUCGCCCGUCACUCU